GGCGACUUGAGAUCCCUAGUAAGGCCUUUCAGUAAUGUCCAGUUCUCAAUUAAUCUUUCCUAGGUACAGCCCGCAUAGAAGAAUCGAGCAGCGGAGAGCCACAUAGCACAAUGUCUUCCAAAGGACGCAGUGCAGCCAGGUCUGUCACGCCGCUACUCACACAACUCUCGGCGUAGGCAUGUUAAUGCGACUCCUCGACUUACCGUCGGCGAGCAUGGUGGGGUAGACUCUCUCAGUCAGGAAGUAUUCAUCACUGCAUUUGUGCGCAGAAAAGUUGCACACAAACUGGAGGUCGUUUUGCAGGUUAUGUAAAUUUGUUUACAGAUAGUAUAUUGGAGGUCAUUUUGUAGGUUGUGUGAAAUAGUUUACAAAAAGUAAAUUAGAGGUCAUUUUGCAGGUUAUGUGAAGUUGUUUAUAGAUAGUAAAUUGGAGGUCAUUUUGAAUGUUAUGUAAAGUUGUCUUUAGAAAGUAAAUUGGAGGUCAUUUUGCAAGUUA